GCGAGGAGAAGAGCCAGCUGCCGCUGCUGGGGAAGAGCGGGCGCCCAGGCAGCCCGGACCCCGGCCCCGGCCCGGCCCCGGCCAGACAGCAGGGCGGCCAGCGCCCGCGGGGAAGGGGUACCAUGGGGGAGCCGGCGGCAGGCGCCCCCAGCCCGCCGCGCGCCUCCGCCUGAGGGAGGCUGGGCGUCCUCUGCCCCAGCCCCUCCGUCCCAGCCGCCCGAGCCGCCCGCCCUCGAAGCCGCGACUCCUGGUCUGCGGCCGCGGCCGCUGCGCCCCGCGCCCUCCGCCCAGCGGGCGCCCCGCAGCCCUCGGCCCCGGGCUCGGCCGACCCCGGCUGCCCACGGACGCCUCCCCCAGUCAUGAACCCCCCGGAGGGGGCAGCGGAGGAAGGAGGAGCAGCCGACUCGGACGUAGACGCCUUUUUCCGGACAGGUUGGAGGACAAGUUCCCGUCCUCCUAACUAGGCCUUAAAAGUCUGGGUGGAGUGGACUCUCGCUGGAACCUGUGGAGAUUAUAAAACAAGAAGCUCACUGCCUUGCAUGGCAGGAGUAAGAGCCAGUGUGAAGGUGUAGGAGUUGGAAGGAAGUUGGAAAUCAGCCCCUUGUGGCCCUUCACUUUGAGAUUCACAAAGAAAAAAGGGAUGUCUUCUCUCUGAAAGCAAAAUGGAACUUCCUUCCUGCACCUGAAGACCUUCCUCACUGCAGGUUAUUCCAAAGAAGAAGCAGCUUGACUUUCAAAUACCAUCACUGGAAAUGAGGGUGUCUGAAGGAGACAAGGAUGGCUGAGUACAUCUCAUGUGUGGGAUAAAUCUGCUGCAUUAAACAGUUCUUCAUGAGUGAGCAGGGGUAACCUCCUUCUAGCACUCCACAUCUCUACUUCCUGCUGCUGCUCUGUCCCAAACCACAGCAUCCUCAGCGGGACCGUACAGGGAGCAACUGCAAGCCACCCACAGUCCCCUUAGCUCUGUUCAAAACAUGGCACAGAAAAAGAUGAUGUUUGAAGAUGAAAGAGACAAAAUAAAUAAAUAAAUAAAUAAAUAU